rnacentral:sRNA from 1 species
GGGUUAGAUUUACCAAACUUGGAGAGGGAGCAGACCCAUACUUGGUCUAUCUGCAUUAGGACCCAUGGGCCGUGGAGGCUAUGGAGGUGGUGGCAGUGGUGGUGGUGGCCGAGGAGGAUUUCCCAGUGGAGGUGGUGGCGGUGGAGGACAGCAGCGAGCUGGUGACUGGAAGUGUCCUAAUCCCACCUGUGAGAAUAUGAACUUCUCUUGGAGGAAUGAAUGCAACCAGUGUAAGGCCCCUAAACCAGAUGGCCCAGGAGGGGGACCAGGUGGCUCUCACAUGGGGGGUAACUACGGGGAUGAUCGUCGUGGUGGCAGAGGAGGCUAUGAUCGAGGCGGCUACCGGGGCCGCGGCGGGGACCGUGGAGGCUUCCGAGGGGGCCGGGGUGGUGGGGACAGAGGUGGCUUUGGCCCUGGCAAGAUGGAUUCCAGGGGUGAGCACAGACAGGAUCGCAGGGAGAGGCCGUAUUAAUUAGCCUGGCUCCCCAGGUUCUGGAACAGCUUUUUGUCCUGUACCCAGUGUUACCCUCGUUAUUUUGUAACCUUCCAAUUCCUGAUCACCCAAGGGUUUUUUUUGUGUCGGACUAUGUAAUUGUAACUAUACCUCUGGUUCCCAUUAAAAGUGACCAUUUUAGUUAAA